UAUGUAUUCCCUCCGUCCGGAAAUACUUGUCAUAGAAAUGGAUACAAAUGGAUGUAUUUAAAACUAAAAUACAUCCAGAUACAUCCAUUCCUCGGACAAGUAUUUCCGGACGGAGGGAGUAUCUA
rnacentral:pre_miRNA from 1 species